AGCUACAGGCUUAACACAUGCAAGUCGAGGGGCAGCAUUUCAGUUUGCUUGCAAACUGGAGAUGGCGACCGGCGCACGGGUGAGUAACACGUAUCCAACCUGCCGAUAACUCGGGGAUAGCCUUUCGAAAGAAAGAUUAAUACCCGAUGGUAUAAUCAGACCGCAUGGUCUUGUUAUUAAAGAAUUUCGGUUAUCGAUGGGGAUGCGUUCCAUUAGGCAGUUGGUGAGGUAACGGCUCACCAAACCUUCGAUGGAUAGGGGUUCUGAGAGGAAGGUCCCCCACAUUGGAACUGAGACACGGUCCAAACUCCUACGGGAGGCAGCAGUGAGGAAUAUUGGUCAAUGGGCGCAGGCCUGAACCAGCCAAGUAGCGUGAAGGAUGACUGCCCUAUGGGUUGUAAACUUCUUUUAUAUGGGAAUAAAGUUUUCCACGUGUGGAAUUUUGUAUGUACCAUAUGAAUAAGGAUCGGCUAACUCCGUGCCAGCAGCCGCGGUAAUACGGAGGAUCCGAGCGUUAUCCGGAUUUAUUGGGUUUAAAGGGAGCGUAGGUGGACAGUUAAGUCAGUUGUGAAAGUUUGCGGCUCAACCGUAAAGUUGCAGUUGAUACUGGCUGUCUUGAGUACAGUAGAGGUGGGCGGAAUUCGUGGUGUAGCGGUGAAAUGCUUAGAUAUCACGAAGAACUCCGAUUGCGAAGGCAGCUCACUGGACUGCAACUGACACUGAUGCUCGAAAGUGUGGGUAUCAAACAGGAUUAGAUACCCUGGUAGUCCACACAGUAAACGAUGAAUACUCGCUGUUUGCGAUAUACAGUAAGCGGCCAAGCGAAAGCAUUAAGUAUUCCACCUGGGGAGUACGCCGGCAACGGUGAAACUCAAAGGAAUUGACGGGGGCCCGCACAAGCGGAGGAACAUGUGGUUUAAUUCGAUGAUACGCGAGGAACCUUACCCGGGCUUAAAUUGCAUUUGAAUAUAUUGGAAACAGUAUAGCCGUAAGGCAAAUGUGAAGGUGCUGCAUGGUUGUCGUCAGCUCGUGCCGUGAGGUGUCGGCUUAAGUGCCAUAACGAGCGCAACCCUUAUCUUUAGUUACUAACAGGUCAUGCUGAGGACUCUAGAGAGACUGCCGUCGUAAGAUGUGAGGAAGGUGGGGAUGACGUCAAAUCAGCACGGCCCUUACGUCCGGGGCUACACACGUGUUACAAUGGGGGGUACAGAAGGCAGCUACCUGGUGACAGGAUGCUAAUCCCAAAAGCCUCUCUCAGUUCGGAUCGAAGUCUGCAACCCGACUUCGUGAAGCUGGAUUCGCUAGUAAUCGCGCAUCAGCCAUGGCGCGGUGAAUACGUUCCCGGGCCUUGUACACACCGCCCGUCAAGCCAUGAAAGCCGGGGGUACCUGAAGUACGUAACCGCAAGGAGCGUCCUAGGGUAAAACUGGUAAUUGGGGCUAAGU
rnacentral:rRNA from 1 species